rnacentral:lncRNA from 1 species
GGUGUCUUCCAAAAUGAGUCUCUUUUUGUUUCUGAAUGACAAUAACCAAGAGUUAUGGGCUGAAUUGUGUCACUCCACAGUUCAUAUAUUGAAGCCCUCACUCCCAGUACCUCAGAAUGUGUCUCUAACUGGAGAUAGAGCCUUUAAACAGGUAAUUAUGUUAAAAUGAGGCCAUUAGGGUGAAUCCUUAUCUAAUAUGACUUGUGACUUUAUAGAAACAAUGAAUUCCGGAAAGGAGAUGGAGCAAGAUGGCCUAAUAGAAGCCUUCACUGAUUGUCUACCCUGCAGGAACACCAAAUUAAACAACUAUCCACACAAGAAAGCACCCUCAGAACAACCAAAAAUCAGUAUUUUACUACCUGCCCCUGCGAGAUUUCCUGUCUUUCAAAAUCAAGUCUAGCAAAGCUGACCUAGAGCAGGAAAAAGCUGGCUGCCCUCUGUUCUAAACUCUUAAAUUUGUGGAUCAGCUCAUGGAAUCAACUUAAGUGUCCAUAACGGAUGGAUUGGAUAAAGAAAAUGUGGUACAUAUGCACCAUGGAAUACUACACAGACAUUAAAAAAAAUCACGUCCUUGUCAGCAACAUGGAUGCAGCUGGAGGUCAUUAUCCUAAGUGAAUCAACACAGAAACAGAACAUCAAACACUGCAUUUUCUCGUAAGUGGAAGCUGAACUGUGGGUACACAGGAACAUAAAGAUGAAAAUAAUAGACACUGGGGGCUCUAAAAGUGGGGAGAGAAAGAGGAGGACAAGGGUUGAAAAACUACCUAUUGAGUAUCUAUGUUCACUCUUUGGGUGAUGGGUUCACCAGAAUCCCAAAUGCCAGCAUUAUGCAAUACACCCAUGCAAUAAACCUGCACAUGUACCCCUGAAUUUGUAAUAAAAAUUUGAACAUCAUCA